rnacentral:misc_RNA from 1 species
GAAAAACAUCCUCGAGUGGGGACACCAUUAACUAGGUAAGUCUUGUACUUAUUUAAAAUUGAAAUGUUGGUAGAAUUUUCCAGCCUGAGAUCAGGAGCACAAAUCCCUACUCCAUCUUUGGUUAACUGCACAUCACACCAUAGAAUUACAUCGGGUACACUGGUUUCCAAUGCGAACUGAUAAGCAUAAUAGCUUGAAUCUGGAAAUAGCCCUGAAAACCCUCCACGUGCAACAACUAAAGGUGGAUUUCCGCUAAGUGUCUGCCAGCGGCUAGUAGAUCCCUGAGCAGAAACCAGAGUUACUAAUGAGUGAAGUAGCAGAAAUGCAGGCAGUAGAGACGUAAAAGCGCGUGGACUAGACAUUGCAGCCGGAGAAUCUCGCCGGCAACUGAUCGACG